rnacentral:rRNA from 1 species
GAGUUUGAUCGUGGCUCAGAUUGAACGCUGGCGGCAUGCCUUACACAUGCAAGUCGAACGGCAGCACGGGAGCUUGCUCCUGGUGGCGAGUGGCGAACGGGUGAGUAAUGCAUCGGAACGUAUCCUGGAGUGGGGGAUAACGUAGCGAAAGUUACGCUAAUACCGCAUAUUCUGUGAGCAGGAAAGCGGGGGACCUUCGGGCCUCGCGCUCUUGGAGCGGCCGAUGUCGGAUUAGCUAGUUGGUGAGGUAAAGGCUCACCAAGGCGACGAUCCGUGGCAGGUCUGAGAGGAUGAUCUGCCACACUGGAACUGAGACACGGUCCAGACUCCUACGGGAGGCAGCAGUGGGGAAUUUUGGACAAUGGGGGCAACCCUGAUCCAGCCAUGCCGCGUGAGUGAAGAAGGCCUC